rnacentral:lncRNA from 1 species
AGACAAGGGUAGAGUAGUUGUUUUUCCAUUCUUUUGGUUUCAGGGUUUAUAAAACAAACAAUUUUUCAAAAUUUAAGGCUCAAAUGGGGACACAAAAGAUCACUAUCUCACAAGGUAGGUUAAGUUUGGCCAAGUAGUUAUCACUCAAAAAGAAACAGGGCCUUGAUCAUAUCCACAAUAUCAAACACNNNNNNNNNNNAGCACACAACAUUGCUGGCUCUCAAAAAUUUAUGUAAACAAUGGAAAGUUCACACAUUCUCACCCGGCUAGGUUGAUAACACAAGCUUCAAUCAUGUUCAACAAAAAUAUUGAAAAUCAUCUUAGAGCAAUCAACACAAUUCAAAACCAUGCUAGGUUCCUAAGCUUAUUUCAAGGACUAAUCAAGAAGUUUUGACAUGAAGUUUCACAAAACAUUUUCAACAUGCUUGAUCAUUGAUUUACCACAAACCUAACUUCAGAUUUUUCCUAAUCAUGUGAGCUUGUUUGCAAAAAGCUAUUUACAAUAUUCACACUACUUAAAAA